rnacentral:snRNA from 1 species
AGCUUUGCGCAGUGGCAGUAUCGUAGCCAAUGAGGUUUAUCCGAGGCGCGAUUAUUGCUAAUUGAAAAGACUUUUCCAUUGACCUGUAGGAAAUUUUUU